rnacentral:misc_RNA from 1 species
AAAGUCGUAACAAGGUUUCCGUAGGUGAACCUGCGGAAGGAUCAUUAAAAAAAAAGGAUGCGCUUUGCGCAUAACUUCUCUCUCACCUUUCAGCCGUAAAAAAGCUGGGAGGCUGAAUGAGUCCCUUCCUUAACCCUUUGUGAACAUUAUAUCUUUUGCUUCGGCAGCACGCUUUCUCUUAACUGAGAGGGUUGGUAAGGCUGCCGAUAGCCCAUUUAAAACCAUUUUAUUUUAAAAUCAUGAAGUCUGAUUACUGUUAAAUUUAAACAAGUUAAAACUUUCAGCAACGGAUCUCUUGGUUCUC